GAUGAACGCUAGCGGCAGGCCUAAUACAUGCAAGUCGAGGGGUAUGGGUUGCUUGCAACCCAGAGACCGGCGCACGGGUGCGUAACGCGUAUGCAAUCUACCUUAAUCAGGGGGAUAGCCCGGAGAAAUCCGGAUUAACACCGCAUAACAUUGAGUUGUGGCAUCACAGUUCAAUCAAAUAUUUAUAGGAUUAAGAUGAGCAUGCGUGACAUUAGUUAGUUGGUGAGGUAACGGCUCACCAAGUCCACGAUGUCUAGGGGAUCUGAGAGGAUGACCCCCCACACUGGUACUGAGACACGGACCAGACUCCUACGGGAGGCAGCAGUAAGGAAUAUUGGUCAAUGGGCGCAAGCCUGAACCAGCCAUGCCGCGUGCAGGAAGACGGCCCUAUGGGUUGUAAACUGCUUUUGUACCGGAAUAAACCUUCUCUUGCGAGAGAAGCUGAACGUACGGUAAGAAUAAGAAUCGGCUAACUCCGUG
rnacentral:rRNA from 1 species